rnacentral:tRNA from 1 species
GGCCGGGUAGCUCAGUUGGUAGAGCAGAGGACUGAAAAUCCUUGUGUCGCUGGUUCGAUUCCAGUCUUGGCCA